rnacentral:rRNA from 1 species
CACGUAGGGUGCGAGCGUUGUCCGGAAUUAUUGGGCGUAAAGAGCUCGUAGGCGGUGUGUCGCGUCGGCCGUGAAAACCUGCAGCUUAACUGUGGGCGUGCGGUCGAUACGGGCAUCACUGGAGUUCGGCAGGGGAGACUGGAAUUCCUGGUGUAGCGGUGAAAUGCGCAGAUAUCAGGAAGAACACCAAUGGCGAAAGCAGCUCUCUGGGACGGUACUGACGCUGAGACGCGAAAGCGUGGGGAGCGAACAGG